CGAUGUACACUAGGUGUCGGGGCAAGAGCUUCGGUGCCGACGCAAACGCAUUAAGUGUACCGCCUGGGAAGUAUGCCCGCAAGGGUGAAACUCAAAGGAAUUGACGGGGGCCCACACAAGCGGUGGAGCAUGUGGUUUAAUUCGAUGAUACGCGAGAAACCUUACCUGGGUUUGACAUCAAGAGCAAUGACAUAGAGAUAUGGCAGCGUAGCAAUACGGCUCUUGACAGGUGCUGCAUGGCUGUCGUCAG
rnacentral:rRNA from 1 species